UCGCACACUUCGUUAGCAGCUAUCGAUAGUGCCGCAACUCAAACUUUCUCGUCAGCAUCAAACAACGGGAGAACAAACCACUCUGAGAUUAUAUCAACCACUUCAAUGCUGUGACCUUGGAGGUGUGAAACUUGGAUUAGUCUAUGGCAAUGAAGGCACUUAAAGCUAGACUUCUCCAAAAUGACCUCCUCUUCUCACUCAAUAAAAAGUACUCAAA
rnacentral:lncRNA from 1 species